UCCUACGGGAGGCAGCAGUGGGGAAUCUUGGACAAUGGGCGCAAGCCUGAUCUAGCCAUGCCGCGUGAGUGAUGAAGGCCCUAGGGUCGUAAAGCUCUUUCGCCAGGGAUGAUAAUGACAGUACCUGGUAAAGAAACCCCGGCUAACUCCGUGCCAGCAGCCGCGGUAAUACGGAGGGGGUUAGCGUUGUUCGGAAUUACUGGGCGUAAAGCGCACGUAGGCGGAUUGGAAAGUUGGGGGUGAAAUCCCGGGGCUCAACCCCGGAACUGCCUCCAAAACUCCCAGUCUAGAGUUCGAGAGAGGUGAGUGGAAUUCCGAGUGUAGAGGUGAAAUUCGUAGAUAUUCGGAGGAACACCAGUGGCGAAGGCGGCUCACUGGCUCGAUACUGACGCUGAGGUGCGAAAGUGUGGGGAGCAAACAGGAUUAGAUACCCUGGUAGUCCACACCGUAAACGAUGAAUGCCAGUCGUCGGGCAGUAUACUGUUCGGUGACACACCCAACGGAUUAAGC
rnacentral:rRNA from 1 species